CCUACCCUUGUCUUGGACCUUGAGUCUCACAAGUUACAAGCAUUUACCGAUGCAUAUGCAGAACUUGCACCUGCUUUGUCUGGUUUGAAUGUUCUUAUUGAGACCUACUUUGCUGACGUCCCUGCUGCGGCAUACAAGACUCUCACAUCUCUGAACGGCGUCACUGCAUAUGGAUUUGAUUUAGUCCGUGGAACCAAGACUCUUGAUUUGAUCAAGGGUGGAUUUCCAAGUGGAAAAUACCUCUUUGCUGGAGUGGUUGAUGGAAGGAACAUCUGGGCUAAUGAUCUUGCUUCUUCUCUCGCUACAUUACAGGGUCUUGAGGGCAUUGUGGGCAAAGGUAUAGAUUGGGCAUACAUUUCACUGUGAAUUUUGGGAUGCUUUUACGGUCAAUAUAGUUGUUUGAUAUAUCUAUUGUUUAAACUGUAUGCAGAUAACCUUGUUGUGUCUACCUCCUCUUCCCUUCUUCACACUGCUGUUGAUCUUGUUAAUGAGACCAAGUUGGAUGAUGAGAUUAAGUCAUGGCUAGCUUUUGCUGCCCAAAAAAUUGUUGAAGUUAACGCAUUGGCUAAGGCUU
rnacentral:lncRNA from 1 species